CGGGUGAGUAACACGUGAUGAACCCGCCCUGUAGAUUGGAAUAACCAUGGGAAACUGUGGCUAAUGCCGGAUAAUCUCGGAAGACCACAUGGACAUCUGAAGAAAAGGUCUGCCGCUACAGGAUGGCCUCCCGGCCUAUCCUCUAGUUGGGGAGGUAACGGCUCACCAAGGCCACCACGGGUAGCUGGGGUGGGAGCGCGACCACCCACACUGGGACUGAAACACCGCCCAAACUCCUACGGGAGGCAGCAAUGGGGAAUCUUGGGCAAUGGGCGAAAGCCUGACCCACCCACCCCGCGUGGAGGAAGAAAGCCUUCCGGUUGUAAACCGCUUUCAGGAAGGAAGAAGCGAAAGUGACGGUACCUCCAGAAGAACCCCCGGCCAACUACGUGCCUGCACACGCGGUAAUACGUAGGGGGCAAGCGUUGUCCGGAAAUAUUGGGCGUAAAGAGCUCGUAUGCGGCCCUUUUACUCGUGUGUGAAAUCUCCGCGCUCAACCCCGACACUGCCCCGAUACUGGAGGACUUGUUGCAGGUAGGGGAAGGUGGAAUUCCUGGUG
rnacentral:rRNA from 1 species